UAUCAUAUUUAAUUUAAUAGGUAACAAUAGUACAUAUAUUAUAUAUUUACAACACAUAGUUGUCUAUGUAUUACAGUUUUGCUAUAAACUACAUCGUGGUAAGACACUAUCUUAUAUUAAACUCAUCAUAUCUUUUCUGGUACACCCAGCUAUAUUUUAUGCGAAUAUAGUGAUGUUCAAUUAAAAUAAAAAAAAACAAAUUCAAAUAAUGUACCUAUAAUCAUCUGAACUCGUCAGCGUGUACGUAUAUGUAUAUGGAUAUGGCGUAACUAUAUGCGUAUAAUACUGCAGCAAUACAAGCCUGUGCUUAAGGAGGGAGGUUGGGGGUUCAAACUCCCCCAUUGUCGAAAAAAUAUAAAUCGUGUUUUUCAUUUUUGAUCGAUUAUAUUAAUUAUUUUAUUAUAUUAUUUGUAAUAAAUAAUAUUGCAUAAAAUAAUAAUAGCACACCACUAUUAUUGUGUUAUUUUCGUGUUUGCUGUUUAUCGGUUUUCGUCA